CCUACGGGGUGCAGCAGUGAGGAAUAUUGGUCAAUGGACGAGAGUCUGAACCAGCCAAGCAGCGUGAAGGAUGACGGCUCUAUGGGUUGUAAACUUCUUUUAUACGGGAAUAAACGAAGGUACGCAUAUCUUCCUGCAUGUACCAUACGAAUAAGGAUCGGCUAACUCCGUGCCAGCAGCCGCGGUAAUACGGAGGAUCCGAGCGUUAUCCGGAUUUAUUGGGUUUAAAGGGUGCGUAGGCGGUAUGUUAAGUUAGGUGUGAAAGUUUGCGGCUCAACCGUGAAAUUGCCGUGGAAACUGGCAGGCUAGAGUACAGUAGAGGUAUGCGUAAUUCGUGGUGUAGCGGUGAAAUGCUGAGAUAUCACGAAGAACUCCGAGUGCGAAGGCAGCUCACUGAACUGCAACUGACACUGAUGCUCGAAAGUGUGGGUAGCAAACAGGAUUAGAUACCCGGGUAGUC
rnacentral:rRNA from 1 species